rnacentral:rRNA from 1 species
UGAGGAAUAUUGGUCAAUGGACGAGAGUCUGAACCAGCCAAGUAGCGUGCAGGAUGACGGCCCUAUGGGUUGUAAACUGCUUUUGUUUGGGAAUAAUCGACAUUACGUGUAAUGUUUUGCAUGUACCAUUCGAAUAAGGACCGGCUAAUUCCGUGCCAGCAGCCGCGGUAAUACGGAAGGACCAGGCGUUAUCCGGAUUUAUUGGGUUUAAAGGGAGUGUAGGCGGUUGGUUAAGCGUGUUGUGAAAUGUAGAUGCUCAACAUCUGACUUGCAGCGCGAACUGGCUGACUUGAGUACACACAACGUAGGCGGAAUUCUUGGUGUAGCAAUGAGAUGCUUAGAUAUCAUGAAGAACUCCGAUUGCGAAGGCAGCUUACGGGAGUGUUACUGACGCUUAAGCUCGAAGGUGCGGGUAUCGAACAGG